AAAAAAAAGAACUACAAAAAACAUCUUUACGGCAGCUGGCACCAGCGUUCUCUGGUACUUUGCCAACCCCAUCUGGGGAAGAGUCGUUGGAUCAUUGGUUGGAGCAUUGGUUGGAGCAUUGGUUGGAUCAUUGGUUGGAGCAUUGGUUGGAGCAUGCACACCUGAUGGUUGAGGAGAGCGAGCGUUCGGCCAAGGAGAAACUACGGCGUAUCAUGGAAUGUCUGAAGGGGCCGGCGUUAGCUGUUGUGAAAGCUGUGAGGACUGCGCAUCCAGAGGUUAGUCCAGCUCGGUGCUUAAAGGCUAUUGAGAGUGUUUUUGGGUCUGCUUAGACCGGCGAGGACUUGUAUUUUGCCUUUAGGUUGUUACAGCAGCAGCUCAAGGAAAAGUUGUCUGACUUUCUUAGGCGCUUGGAGUUGUCGUUGACCAAGGUGGUUCGUCGUGGAGGUCUCCCUCCAGGCCGCGUCGACCGUGCGCGAGUGGAGCAGCUGAGAGGUGCUGUCCACUCUGAUAUGAUGCUGGUACAGCUCAAACUCAGGGAACGGAAAGAAGAUCCGCCAACUUUCUUGGAACUCCUGAGCGAUAUCCGCAACGAAGAGGAGUAUUAGUCUUCAAGGACAAAGCUGCACACGUCUAUCCAGAGAGUUCAUGCUAGGCCUGGCAUAGGCAGUAGACAAGAAGAUGUUGAGCAUUUAAGAUCUGAAGUUCAAGAACUCCAAUCAAUGUUCACUGCGAUGAGGUCUUUAUCUAGCCAAACUGUAGCAUAUAGGAAAGAACAUGAGUCACUUCCAAAAGUACUCAGCCCAGAGACAGGCAAUGAAUAGGAAGUAGCUGCCCUGAGGAAACAAGUGAUGAACCUGCAAAAGCAAAUAGCAGGCCAACAGUCAAAAGUCUCUGAAUCCCCUGCAUCAGCUCUAAGCGUGGAUCCGGAACUUCCGUACCGAGUAAGAUAUGAACUAAGGCCAUGAACAGAAGUCAUUUGUUUUGAAGAGAAAAAGAUUACAUGAGCAAUUCUCCGCAGAUAUCUGGCUCUAACUAUUGCUUGCAAGCAGGAGGUCCAACACACCAGCACGUAUCUCAGCGCUCGGCGUAAUGACGUCUCCGAGCAGUGAAAACGCUGAGUUUUUAUACACAUGUGAAGAACAUUCUCCGUGCCAGUUACGAGAAGCUACAAAGCAGGUUGAGAUAAGAACCCAGGUGAAGCUGAGGGUAGCACACACACACACACACACACACACACACACACACACAAGAUCCUCCUCAGUGGCCGGUGCAAAUCAUUAUUAAUUGACAUAAAGUAAAAACGUGGAUCCGGAACGAAAGCUCCGAAUAAGAUAUGAACCAAGGCCAUGAACAGGAGUCCUUUGUUUUGAAGCUUCUACGAGAUCGAGUUGACCGCUCUCCCUUCUCAGUGCGCAGCUGCAAAGCAACAUUUUGUAUCAUGCUGCUCUUUGCACUUCAGGGUCAAAUACAGGACACUUGAGACACGACCUUAGCACAAAACAAUGUUAUAAUAUAUUUUACCAGUACAUGCAUCUCACAAUCUCACAAUUGUCAGACCUGAACCAGACCUGGUGAGUUCUACUUGCUGGUGCACAGGUGCAUUGGGCCUAGGAGGGAAGUUGGGCUUGCAAGCACAUUAUGCGUUUUGUAAUGAGGAGGAGGAUGGGUACUCGGUGAUUAAUGGCUGUUUGUACAGUGCAGGCUGAACUGGUGACACGGAGUGGUCAGCAGGGCAGCCACUGCUCUUUUUCUCCGACCAUAGUUUUAGUUUAGAUUAUGCUUUAGUGCCUCCAUCUUGCUCUCUCUUUAUAGAAAUAACAAACUGAUAUUGUGCCUUUUUUGAUGACCGUUGCUUCCCCCUUCCCCACUUCUAUUGUGUAUGUGUCUCUUAACCAGGAUCAUUAAUUGUAUUUGUGUGUGUUGGUUUGUAGUGUUGGUUAUUUUAGCCUUUCUUAACAGUGUGCAGUGGUUUUAUUGUUGGAAGUGUCAUUGUUGCCCCCGGCCAAUCACUACUGGUAUAAAUUAUUUGGAUGUGUUUUUAUAAAGUUAUUGUUUAAAUAAAAGUGAUAUUGCACUGUACACGCAGAAGCCUCUGUCUAUGAUCUACGUUGUAUGGGGUUUUUCACCAGUAAGAUAAUUUAAUUCAGGGUCUCUCCCGUCAAAGAGAGUGGCGUUGUCACGUCUGGAUAUUAUUCCAAAGUAUUAUAAGUGUCCAUUUGGUCACAUAUAAAUACCAAUUAUUGCGAGCGGCGUACGCCUUCUUUUGUGCGUACGCAACGUGUAUAAAUGAGGCCCCAGGACAUGAUGGGCCAUGAGAGACGGAAUAAAAUGUUUCAGGGGGAGAAACACCGCUGAAAGUUCCAGAAAAUGUAUGUGAGACCGCUGGAGGUCCGCACUCCAGCGGUCCCUCACAGAUCGGCCCUCGUAAAUUACGCCCCAACCUGUCAGGCUGGCGUCCGUCGUGACCACUUUCCAGGACAGGACGGAACCCAUGGGCACCCCGUGGAUCAGAAAGGCCGGGACUCGCCAGGGCGCUCCGUCUCUUGCGAGUCCCGGCCUGGCGAGUCCCGGUGUGACCACCAUUCUCCGUGCGCCAUUACGCACGGGAUCCAGCCAGCAUGAGGCCACCCAAAGCUGGAAUUCUCUCAUGUGGAAGCGACCGAGACAAACUACGAGAAUGGCAUACGCCAUCAGUCCGAGUAACCGAAGACAUAUUCUGGAUGCCCGGAUGAAAAAGCGCGAGACAUUUCCUGAAGACCUUCACCCGCUCGGCGCAGCGGCGGGGCCGCCCACACAGCCCCCUCUCGGGGGAAAAGCCGUGGCUCUUUGCAAUGGGCAAUUUCUUCCCCUCGUAGCGGGAUCUGGUGGUCUCAGCUACGACAGCAGGCCAGGGGGUCGCCAGCCAGGCAGCAGCGCGUUUGCACACGUCGAGCAUGUCCGGGCUGGGGGGGGAAAGGCUGGUGCGCUGCUCCCAUCUCCACCCCGAGAGGCGACGGAGCAAGUUUCUAAUACGUCGUUGUACGAACCUCUUUUACAACUAACUUGACAGUUUGUUUUUUUUAAACCUCUAAAAUAAUGAUAUAGCACACAAGAGAGGACAAAAGAUUACCGUGUAAAAAAUCACGUUGAAAUGUGGUCUAAGACGUCUUUUCAACGUCUACGAAUAGACGAAAAAACUUUCAUAGACGUACUUUCAACCAAAAAAUUCUCACUGUUAACAGUCAACUAAAACAACAGUGACCACGUAACAAAACUCACCACUGUAGCAGGUUGCUUUCCUGAGUCAGACUACGUCCUGUCCUUCACACAAUAACACCGGCACCUCCGAGUCAUGAAGCGGCGAAACGCGACGCGAGCCUCCCGCACGGCACGAGGCUGCGAUCGGUCUCCUCACAGUUACGGAGUCUCACUGCUCCGCUUUCAUGUGGCAUAAAUGGCACCACAUCACAUUUAUUUUGUAUCCAGAAAAAAACAGAAACCCUUCAGAGAGCGACUCACAGCCUCUGAGAGUCUUAGACGUCGAUCUGAAGAUACAAUAGAGGUGUUUUUUAAGAUGAUUCAUUUAGCAGGAAGCACUCAUAUAAACCACACACACUCUCACUGCUCCGCUUUCACGGCGCAUAAAUGGCACCACAUUACAUUUAUUUUGCAUUCAGAAAAAAAAUCAUAAACCCUUCAGAGAGCAACUCACUCGAUCUGAAGAUACAAUGGAGGUGUGUUUUUUUUAAUGAUUUAUUCAGCAGGAAGCACUCAUAUAAGCCACACUCAUCAUCUCUGAACAGCAUUAUUUCAUAACCCCAAAACUCUGAUUUGUAUACAGAGCCAAAUAAAACAUGUUCCUACGCCCCACUUUUAAACUUUCCAAUCAGGUUCAAUAUACUGAACAGAAAAUACACACAACAAAUGCAUAGAAUCAUUAGUUUAUACCACCCCAAAUAGUUUACAUUGGGGUAAAAACUUACCCUUACCUUAAAUUAAAACUGGAG
ensembl:lncRNA